UGGAUGCUCUUAAAAGUAAUAUUUUAGGAACACUGCCAAAUAUUGAUGGAUGUGUUUUGAAUAAGGUUAUGAACAAUUUAAUGGAAAUAAGUGUUGAAAAUGAAACAGAUUUCUACUUUGUAAAAGUUGAGGAUUUGGUUUUCCUAAAACCCAUCCAACAACGUAAACUCCUUGAAUCUUGGGCAAAGGAAAGCUCUGCACAAUCUCAAAGUCCUGUAGAUUUUAAAAAAGUUGUUAACAAAACAUACAAUAAAGAUUAAACAUGUAAGUGCUGCCGAUUGGAACAAUUAUCAGUUGAUGUCUUAAAAAGAAAAACUGAUAUUUAUGGUUGCUUGAACCGAGAGCCAGUUCUCAAUGUUUCAAACAGCCUUGAGGAACUCGAUUACUAUUUGCAACGAACUGAAAUAAAUGGAAGAUGUUGUUAAAUGAUUUGUUGAUGAAAUUCCCCAAUUUAUUUUCAAAUAACAUGUAAUGUAUUUACUUCAAAAAUACUUGAUAGUAAAAAAAUUUGUUUGGGAAGCAGAAUUGUUGACAGGACCAAACUCUCCUCAUCUCUGUGUUUAGGGAAAUUCACUAUUUACAGCAAAUCGAGUUAUGCUGGUCAUUGAUUGCAUUGUUGUGGUUGAUGGAAUGAACAGUUUCGUCAAGUUUUUAUAUUUUCAAUAUACCAUAUCAAAAAGAAGCUUCAUUAAUAUUAGAAUUUUGUCAACGUGCAUUCUUCGACAUCAAUCCUGAGAAGGGAAACAAAUCAAAGCGAACGAAAAAGACUUCAUCAAUAAGCAAAAUUGUGCUGUCAAUACUGCAGAAGUUUGCGAGAUUUGAUAAUAUUUGAAUUUACCACGUUGUUAAAC